UUAUAAGAGACAGCAGUAGCCGCGGUAAUACAGAGGGUGCGAGCGUUAAUCGGAUUUACUGGGCGUAAAGCGUGCGUAGGCGGCUUCUUAAGUCGGAUGUGAAAUCCCUGAGCUUAACUUAGGAAUUGCAUUCGAUACUGGGAAGCUAGAGUAUGGGAGAGGAUGGUAGAAUUCCAGGUGUAGCGGUGAAAUGCGUAGAGAUCUGGAGGAAUACCGAUGGCGAAGGCAGCCAUCUGGCCUAAUACUGACGCUGAGGUACGAAAGCAUGGGGAGCAAACAGGAUUAGAGACCCCUGUAGUCCCUGUCUCUUAUAC
rnacentral:rRNA from 1 species